rnacentral:tRNA from 1 species
GGGCCAUUAGCUCAGUUGGUAGAGCAGGACACUCUUAAUGUCAAGGUCGUUGGUUCGAUCCCAACAUGGCUCA